rnacentral:rRNA from 1 species
ACGAACGCUGGCGGCGUGCUUAACACCUGCAAGUCGAACGAAGAGCGAUGGAAGCUUGCUUCUAUCAAUCUUAGUGGCGAACGGGUGAGUAACGCGUAAUCAACCUGCCCUUCAGAGGGGGACAACAGUUGGAAACGACUGCUAAUACCGCAUACGAUCUAAUCUCUGCAUCGAGGAUGGAUGAAAGGUGGCCUCUACAUGUAAGCUAUCACUGAAGGAGGGGAUUGCGUCUGAUUAGCUAGUUGGAGGGGUAACGGCCCACCAAGGCGAUGAUCAGUAGCCGGUCUGAGAGGAUGAACGGCCACAUUGGGACUGAGACACGGCCCAGACUCCUACGGGAGGCAGCAGUGGGGAAUCUUCCGCAAUGGACGAAAGUCUGACGGAGCAACGCCGCGUGAGUGAUGACGGCCUUCGGGUUGUAAAGCUCUGUUAAUCGGGACGAAAGGCCUUCUUGCGAAUAGUGAGAAGGAUUGACGGUACCGGAAUAGAAAGCCACGGCUAACUACGUG